CGUAAACAAUACUUUUAAUUGUAACAUUCAACAAAUUUAGUCUAUCCUAGAUUUGAUAUUUUAUUUGUAACAUUCAGAUAGGCCAGAUAAGUUAGUAAUUCCUUAAUACACAUGUAGGGUGCAAAAAUCAAUAGUAUGUAUCACAAUGUCUGCCGUAUUCUCUGCUUCUCAUGUAAAACGUAUUUCAAUUUUCUACGCUUUUAUGAUAUUUAUGGUAUUUCAUUAAAUUUAUUAAUUUAAUGAUUAUUUGAAAGAACGCGUUCAAAUUUGAAACCAAACCUAAAUGUAAUAAGUUAAACUGUGAGACAUUGUAAAAUCGACAUAUUUAAGUGGUGCUCUUGAAAAGGGAAUUGUUAAACGAUGGAUAAUCAAGGAUUAGGAUAUUCCUAUCAUUUACCAUCUGCUGGAUGGAAUCUUAAAAUUAGAAAUGCAUUAUCUCAAUUUAGUGAUCUUUUUAGCGAAUUUAACAAAUACAUUGCACCAGCAUAUCAUCAUGAUCGUUGCGAAAGAUCUGUGCAAAUGCGCUUAUAUUCUAUGCACAAAAGAGAAUUUGUCAUGGUAUUCAUUGGCUUUUUUGCCUGUUUUGGAUUGUCCGUGUUCAUUGGGCUUACUGGUCCGCCAAUAACUUCAACAAGUGAACAAAAAGCACAUCUCAAUGGAAGCGAAAUGGCAACUGGACCAUUUAGAAUGAAGACGCCAGCUUUAUCGCCUUAUAGUCAACAAUUAUGGGUCAUUGCUAAAUUAUCUACGUUAAAUAAUGACGAUGAAAGAUACGAUAAAAGUUUUCAAGUAAGCGUUUCAAUAGAAGGCAUUAGUAUUGAUCAUAAGCGUAUUCCUAUAUUGGAAGCUGGACAUACAAGAACAAGACAUUUGAAAUGUGAGAGACAAUCUUGCGAGGAGCUUGUUGUGGCUCAUCUUGGAUUUUUAGAUUACACCUACUAUAUAAUAACUGUGCAUUUUCAUGGACUUGAAAGCUUUCAUCAACGAUAUACAAUACGAGAUCUCACAUUCUACUUUAAAAAUUACAAUCCUGCGUUCACACAAAUUGAGAUAUGGUUUCGACUGAUCUUCUUGUUGACUACUUUUGGAGUAAUGUGUUGGUUCGGUCACUCGCUAAGAAAAUAUUCAUUACAUGAUUGGUCAAUAGAGCAAAAAUGGAUUUCUAUUCUUCUUCCAUUAUUAAUUUUAUAUAAUAAUCCUUUAUUUCCUAUGACAUUUUUAAUAAACUCUUGGGUACCUGGAAUGCUCGAUGCAAUACUACAAACAACUUUUUUAUGUGCUAUUCUCAUGUUCUGGCUUUGCGUUUAUCAUGGUCUUAGACAGAAUGAAAGGAGAUUGAUCACUUUUUAUUUGCCAAAAAUGUUGGUUGUUGGUCUUCUAUGGGCGGCAGCUCUAACAUUAGCAACAUGGCUUCGUUGUACCGAAUUAGAAGAUCCAACAUAUAAUUAUGUUCUUGAUACAUCAAAUUAUUAUGGUUUCAAAGUAUUCUUCUUUACAGUUGGUGGUUUUUACAUUGCAUAUCUUCUUCUACUUAUACUUAAGGCAUAUAGCGAACUAAGAUCUAUGCCAUAUUUUGAUUUACGAUUAAGAUUUUUAACAUUACUUGCUGGAGUAGUUGCUGGUGUUUGCAGCUUAGUUACUUCUCGUCAAUUUGGUGCAGGUGUUCUCGAAGAUAGUUUUGCCUCGCGUCUUUCUACAUAUUAUAGCACAUCGGCACAAUUUAUGGCUUUGUAUGGCCUUCUCAAUUUUUAUUUGUAUACAAUGGCAUACGUUUAUGCUCCAGCAUUACAACAAGUCUAUGGACAACAUUCAUCCAUAAUGAAAGAUAAUCCUGCUUUUUCGAUGAUAAAUGAUUCGGAUGAAGAAGUGAUAUAUGGAUCGGAUGAAGACAACAGACGACUGUUAACACGUUUAUCAAAAAAUGGAGUAGACAGUGAUUGAAUAAACACUAUCAAUAGAAUAAAACAAUUAUAUAAAAAUAAUUGUAUCUAAUGAAGUGAAAUGUUGAUUGGCAGGCAAUUUUUGUAAAUUUUACAAAAAUACUGCCUUUUAGGUAUGGAAAAGACUGUACAUAUGCCUUCUUGGAUUUUGGUAUUAAUCUAUAUAUUAUAAUACAAGAAAAGAAAAGAAUCAAUAAUCUAUUCGCGUUAAUCUGUUAUUAUUCUCUAGCAGCAUUCACGAAUAAAUAAUGAACGAGAUAAAAACAAUAUAGAAAUGAUUAGCAAAAGAAACAGAAAAUACUUCAACUUCGUGGAUGCCUAUAUGAUUGUGUAUUGCAUUAGAUCAUUUAUAUGAGUUAUCAAUAAUUUAUAUUGUUAAAAUAAGUUAUCAAAUAUUAGUACAAAUUAAUAUAUGUUUUAUGCUC
rnacentral:misc_RNA from 1 species